UUCUUUACAAGUGGAGAGAAGAACUGCAUAGGACUUCACAGGAUUUAAGAUUGCUGAUGUCAUCUUGCUGCGAUAAGUAAUUUGAUUUCAUUCCCAUUUUGUAUUCUAUUUAUUCUUCUCUUCCUUUUCAGAUUACCAUAGAGGACAGUGACUCAGAUGAGAACGUUGCAUUUUUAAAAUGUUCCAAGCCAAAACAAAAGCUGACUUCAUUAAGUGCCAGUAAGAGGGGCUCCCAGAGUCAGAGCCAGUCUUUUAAAGGAGUAUGCUUUGAUGAUGAAGACGAGGAUGAGUUUGAUCCAUUCAAGGGGUCAAGACCGCAGCGCAGAUAAGGAAAGAAACCCAAUUGCUUGUCUACUUCUAGUGAAUCCACUUCUUUUCUCAGUCCUUCCAGAGAUUUUGCAGAGAUUUGAGUAAACUAGUUUGUUCAAGGUUAACUUGCCUACAGUUGUUUUAAAAACUAUGUUAGAUGUUGAACAUUGUUGUCUUUUAUACUCGGAUGCAUGUCCUCAAAUAAAUAUCUGGGACAUUAAAAGACGUGUGUGUUUAUCUAAGCAAAAGUGUGUUUAUGUCUGUUCCAAGCCAAUAAAACCAUAAACUGUCACUUUCUUCUU